AUACUUAAGUGGCAAGGGAACGACCGCAAUCACAAAGGUACUUUUCACUAAGUAAGACUUAACCAUUGUACUCUGCAUGUGCCAAUCUCUGUUAUUCUCCCAAAUGCAGGAAACUCAGCUGCAUAUAAUUUGUGGUAGUACAGGAAUGAGUUCACCAUAUCCCCUGAG
rnacentral:snRNA from 1 species